AAGGAAUGAGCUCCUGAUCUUGGGGAGUACUUAAAAGAACUUUUUCUUGGAAGAAUUACUGCAGGAAACAUUCAUAGAACCUUGGGAAACAUGAAUUCUGGAAUCUUGCAAGUCUUCCAGAGGGCACUCACCUGUCCCAUCUGCAUGAACUACUUCAUAGACCCAGUCACCAUAGACUGUGGGCACAACUUUUGCCGGCCCUGUUUCUACCUCAACUGGCGAGACAUGGCAGUUCUUGCUCAGUGCUCUAAAUGCAAGAAGACAAUACAGCAGAGAAACCUCAAAACUGACAUUUGUUUGAAGAACAUGGCUUCCACUGCCAGAAAAGCCAGCCUCUGGCAAUUCCUUAGCUCUGAGGAGCAAAUAUGUGGGAUGCACAGAGAGACAAAGAAGAUGUUCUGUGAAGUGAACAAGAGCCGGCUCUGUUGGCUGUGCUCCAACUCUCAGGAGCACCGGAAUCACAGACACUGUCCCAUUGAGUGGGCUGCUGAGGAACGCCGGGAGGAGCUCCUAAAAAAAAUGCAGUCUUUAUGGCAAAAAGCUUGUGAAAAUCUCAGAAACCUGAACACAGAAACCACCAGAACCAGAUGCUGGAAGGAUUAUGUGAGUUUAAGGACAGAAGCAAUCAGAGCUGAAUAUCAGAAGAUGCCUGCAUUUCUCCAUGAAGAAGAGCAACAUCACUUGGAGAGGCUGCGAAAGGAGGGCGAGGACAUUUUUCAGCAACUCAAUGAAAGCCAAGCCAGAAUGGAACAUCCCAGGGAGCUUUUAAGAGGAAUGUAUGAGGAUCUGAAGCAAAUGUACCAUAAAGCAGAUGUGGAGCUACUCCUGGCUUUUGGAGACAUAUUACACAGGGGAGUGCAUACCAAGAUUUUAGCAGAUGCUUUCAGUUUCCACAAAUAUCAAGCAGGAACUUUGAUAUUGAAGGUAUGAGUCCCCGCUGCUGCAAGUGUCUGAGCCUGUGAAUCCAGAGCUCAGUGCAGGGCCCAUCACUGGACUGCUGGACAGGCUCAGUGGAUUCAGAGUUGAUUUUACUCUGCAGCCUGAAAGAACCAAUAGUCAUAUCUUCCUGUAUGGAGAUUUGAGAAGCAUGAAUGUUGGAUGUGACCCUCAAGAUGAUCCCGAUAUCACUGCAAAAUCUGAAUGUUUUCUUGUAGGGGGGGCUCCGGCUUUCACAUCUGGCAAAUAUUAUUGGGAGGUUCACGUGGGGGACUCUUGGAAUUGGGCUUUUGGUGUCUGUAACAAUUAUCGGAAAGAGAAGAGACAGAAUGACAAGAUAGAUGGAGAGGAGGGACUCUUUCUUCUUGGAUGUGUUAAGGAGGACACUCACUGCAGUCUCUUUACCACCUCCCCACUUGUGGUGCAAUAUGUUCCAAGACCUACCAGCACAGUAGGAUUAUUCCUGGAUUGUGAAGGUAGAACCAUGAGCUUUGUUGGUGUUGAUCAAAGUUCCCUGAUAUACACCAUCCCUAAUUGCUCCUUCUCACCUCCUCUCAGGCCUAUCUUUUGCUGUAGUCACUUCUGACCAGAGAAAAGUCAGAAAUGUGUCUAUAUGCUCUGGGAACCUGUUUAUCCCAGAAAGCCCUCUUUUUCGCACCUCAUCAAAUGGGACAAAUAAGUUACAUUUAAUGUCUUUAGUUGCAUUCUAAUGUCAUCAAAACUCAUUUAUAGUGUUUCUAUUAAAUAUGGUGAAAACA